rnacentral:rRNA from 1 species
GUUUGCAGAGCUGCCACUUGGGAUGUGAGCUCCACUGUACUUUAACUGAGCUGGGACGGCCAGGUCAGUACUUGGCUGGGAGACACCCAGGGAGUGCUGUUCUGGACACA